rnacentral:rRNA from 1 species
GAGUGGCGAACGGGUGAGUAAUGUAUCGGAACGUACCCAGUAGCGGGGGAUAACUACGCGAAAGCGUAGCUAAUACCGCAUACGUCCUACGGGAGAAAGCGGGGGACCUUCGGGCCUCGCACUAUUGGAGCGGCCGAUAUCGGAUUAGCUAGUUGGUGGGGUAAAGGCCUACCAAGGCGACGAUCCGUAGCUGGUUUGAGAGGACGACCAGCCACACUGGGACUGAGACACGGCCCAGACUCCUACGGGAGGCAGCAGUGGGGAAUUUUGGACAAUGGGGGCAACCCUGAUCCAGCCAUCCCGCGUGUGCGAUGAAGGCCUUCGGGUUGUAAAGCACUUUUGGCAGGAAAGAAACGGUUCCGGAUAAUACCUGGAGCAACUGACGGUACCUGCAGAAUAAGCACCGGCUAACUACGUGCCAGCAGCCGCGGUAAUACGUAGGGUGCAAGCGUUAAUCGGAAUUACUGGGCGUAAAGCGUGCGCAGGCGGUUCGGAAAGAAAGAUGUGAAAUCCCAGAGCUUAACUUUGGAACUGCAUUU